rnacentral:rRNA from 1 species
UACAGAGGGGGCAAGCGUUAUUCGGAAUUAUUGGACGUAAAGGGCGCGUAGGCGGCUUGGCAAGUGGAAGGUGAAAUCCCUCGGCUUAACCGAGGAACUGCCCUCCAAACUGCUUUGCUUGAGGCCGGGAGAGGUGAGUGGAAUUCCCAGUGUAGCGGUGAAAUGCGUAGAUAUUGGGAGGAACACCAGUGGCGAAGGCGGCUCACUGGACCGGUUCUGACGCUGAUGCGCGAAAGCGUGGGGAGCAAACGGG